CUGCUCUUCCUCCGUAGCGCCCUUGCGUCUUCGCUGCAGCAGCUUCUGGAGCUGAGGUCCCAGCAGUGUCCCUCAGAGCCAAGCCCAGGACCCAGCAGAACCACGACCCAAGGUAGGACUACAGCUCCCCAGAUCCCCCCUCCCGCUGACGGCCGGGGACAUGUCGCCGUUGCACCAGGGAUGCGGCCCCUCACCAGUAGCUGCCGGCGCUGCCGCAACGGCACAUAGGGUACGUAGUCCUCGUCGUCCUCAUCCUCGUCCUCGGAGCGGCUCCCACCCGCGGUCGCCUCGUCCGCGCGUGCCCGCUGCGGAGACCCGAGUCAGCCGCGGCCCCUCCCCCUGCCCGCACCCCCUCGCGUGGACCAAACCUCAGUCCCACCUUCCGCUCCGGUUCCGAAUCCUCCAUCUUAGGCUGCACACAUGCGCAAUGCCAGGGCAUCUGAGCUCCAAUCAGAUAGGAAAAACUGCUGUGGUCGCCUAGCAACGGCGUGAGCGCCGGAUCGCGAACCGGGACAAUCUUCUU
rnacentral:lncRNA from 1 species